GAAGGUCUCCCACUCAGUACGAAAUGGGAAUGUCCUCCCACUGGAAGUCUGGGGAGAACGGGGACUCUAUCAAAUAGCGCACCACUUACUUCGUACAGUAGUAAAAUCAGUCACACUACGAAAUGCUACCAAAUAAAUCACAAUUCAUUCAUAAAGCUGUGAAUAUUUGGUUUCACAAACAUAGUUUUUCUGGUUUGUGCGAAUUCGUGAAGGACAAUAUAAAACCACACCACCAAGGUCUGCACACCACCAAGGUAAAUUGGUUUGGUCUUGACAAUGCUGGGGGAUGGGUAUUGAUGCUCGAGUGCCAAAUUAACAUGAAUUGAUAAGAAAAGGUUUAAGCCAUCAGGUGCCUAGAAAAAAGAAGAGAAACACAAAAGAUAAAGUUUGUUAGACGUUGUGUUCGUGGAGUCUGAAAGGAGUGAGAGGAUAUUGGCAAACAUCACUGGGCGUAGCUGAAGAGGAUAAGCUACAGCUAGCUACACUGCAUUGCCAUUGUUGAUCCCAUUAACUGCUGAGGCAGCAGCUGCUCUUUCUGGGGUCCACAUGAAACUUAACAUAAUAACAUUUGUAGGCACAGACAGAACUACAUACUCUUUGUGUUAUGCAACAGACCAAACUCCUGUGGCCAAAAACG
ensembl:lncRNA